GCCAGCGUGGUGUAGUGAUUUGAAUGCUGGAUUUGGACUCUGGAGACCAGGGUUUGAAUCCCAGCUGAGCCA